GUGUGGCAUCUCUCUAAACCCCCUCGAUCGUCCGAGCUUCCAUAAUACCGUCCGGACUUCUCCAACAAUGAGCUUCUCCAUUCAUUUAUCGGGCUGCUCCAAAAGCUCUCUGGGCUUCACUAUCAGCUGAUCUUCUAUAGUGAUCAACUAUUCUCCGAAUCCCUUCCAGACUUCUUUCGACCACGGACGAUCCUACUUCGAACUUCUUUCAAACUUUGUCAAUAUCCGAGCUUCUCCAACAAUGAGAUUUCUACAGUAAUCAGACUCCAUCCAAGUUUCUACGAUGGUCAACCUCCUUCCGAAUUUCAUCCGAGC
rnacentral:lncRNA from 1 species